rnacentral:tRNA from 1 species
CUCCUAAUAGCUCAACGGAUAGAGCACUAGCUUGCGGUGCUAGCGGUUAUAAGUUCGAUUCUUAUUUAGGAGGCCA